rnacentral:rRNA from 1 species
UCUGGCGGCAGUAGCGCGGUGGUCCCACCUGAUCCCAUGCCGAACUCAGAAGUGAAACGCCGUAGCGCCGAUGGUAGUGUGGG